AGUCUCUCGUUAGCAUCUCGGAGGCUAAUUGAGACGUUACAGAAGUCUCUCGUUAGCAUCUCGGAGGCUACUUCAGACCUUACAGAAGUCUCUCGUUAGCAUCUCGGAGGCUACUUCAGACUCUAAUCUAGAACUGACGUCAGGGAUCAUGCUGUGAAAAUGUGAUGCCUUCUGCUAAUUAAUAACUGCUAUGUAAUGUAUCUCAUUAUUCUGUCGCUAACAUCAACACAGAUCUCCGUGGAAUCUGUCAUUGUCGCAAAGUGACGCAUGUGCACCCGGGUACGGACAGAGACACACAGCCGUGUGUGCUUUUAGUCUUUUGUUGCACAGAGAGCCCCAUCUAGUGGCUAGUUGUGGUUAGGCUAUCGCUAGAUUUUGGACUACAUACUGAGAGAAGGACAAGGGACAUUUUUCCUAUAAUUGUGUCUUCUACCACCGGCUCCACAUCACCACAACAUCCGUCUCCAGGUCCAAAGACCAAUAAAAAUCUGUAUUCACGGCAAAUAAUGAACGUUACUUUUAGCCACAACUGAAUGUUGGAGCAAUAAUGAAAUUGUAUUUCUACUUGUGAUUAUGUAAAGAUGUACAGUUUGUAAAAUAUGGCAUGUCAGUGCAGAUUCUAAUUUUAAAAAUCAAUUUUUUCUUUCUUUUGGACCUUGUUUGUCUCAUGACACACCUUUCUCCCUCUCUGCCAUCUUCCUGCUUUGGAUUCAUAUUGCAAGUAACUUUAUUAAUAAAUCUGCACAGGCCACCAGAAAAUAUAGCUAAAAAUGAGAAAUUAGUUGAUUUAUAUGCACCUUAAUAUAUCUGGUUUGAUAAGCACCGCUCUCCUUUUAGGGCUAGCUUAGUCACAGAGAGCAUUUUGGUGUUUUUAACGUGUGUAAUGCUAAGCUAUAUUUUGUGAGCAGGGUCUUGAUUUUACCAACUAUGCCACGUUGUAUGUUUCUUCACAGCGUAACGUAUUACUGUAAGAGAAAAAGUCAGUUUUUAUAAAAAAUUAAUUAAUUCACUGACCAUAUUUGGGCUGCACUAUAACACCUUUUACCGAUUAUGCAGGUACUGCCAUCUACUGUCUGUCUGUUUGUAUGAAAACAGAAUUUUCCUUUAAAAUGUGAAAUGUUUUUUUUUAAGAUAAUGAAGGAUUUGAUGUCCCAGCCUGCCCCUGUAUCAGUGGGUCAGACUCGGGCUUUCUUUGCUUCUGAUACAAAGCAGAGCGGCUGUAUCUGAAAUGUAUUUAAAAAACAAUAAAACAGAGAGAGAAAGAAA